rnacentral:rRNA from 1 species
UACGUAGGGUGCAAGCGUUGUCCGGAUUUAUUGGGCGUAAAGAGCUCGUAGGCGGCUCGGUAAGUCGGAUGUGAAACCUCCAGGCUCAACCUGGAGACGCCAUCUGAUACUGCCGUGGCUUGAGUCCGGUAGAGGAGCAGGGAAUUCCUGGUGUAGCGGUGAAAUUCGUAGAUAUUCGGAGGAACACCAGUGGCGAAGGCGACUGCCUGGACAAAGACUGACGCUGAGGUGCGAAAGCGUGGGGAGCAAACAGG